AAGAUAUUAGUAAAACUAUUACAUAACUUUGUCGAAGUUAAUUCAUAGGUUAAAUCCCUGUAUAUCUUC
rnacentral:tRNA from 1 species